rnacentral:lncRNA from 1 species
AUGCUGCUUUGUUUCUUCUCAUUCCUAACAGCAAAUCCUGGACCAAGGUUCCUAUUGCCUGCCAGUGUUCUGAUGAACAUUUUCUUACUUGAGCAGCCGAGGAAACAAGGUUCCUGGUGCAGUCUGCUCUCUCCACAUUUACCAGUGCACUGUCUCAAUAUUUCAGAAAAAAAAACAGUGCCUUACAUUCGUCAGGUGUUGCAGGUAAUUACUACGUAGGAAGAAAAUAAUGCAAAUAUCAGCUAAAAUGACUCAUAUCCUGGGUUUGCCAGGCACACCUCACUGUAGUAUUUUUUUUACACCUACAUGUGAAUGCAAUCGUCUUAAGAAUGACAAAUUCUGAACCUGCUGUCUGAGGAAGACAAGGUGUUUUAUGUCGAUGUGUCAUUAAGUCCAGUUGAAACAUAAUCAAACAAAAAUAAACUUGAUGACGUUGGAAGUACUCA